CACGUAGGGUGCGAGCGUUGUCCGGAAUUAUUGGGCGUAAAGAGCUCGUAGGCGGUGUGUCGCGUCGGAUGUGAAAGCCCGGGGCUUAACCCCGGGUCUGCAUUCGAUACGGGCAUCACUGGAGUUCGGCAGGGGAGACUGGAAUUCCUGGUGUAGCGGUGAAAUGCGCAGAUAUCAGGAGGAACACCGGUGGCGAAGGCGGGUCUCUGGGCCGAUACUGACGCUGAGGAGCGAAAGCGUGGGAGCGAACAGG
rnacentral:rRNA from 1 species